GGACCAGAGAGGCUUUGGAGGUUAGUCAGGUGGUCGCCAUCUUCUUGAUGAGUUUCACCUCCUCACCCAGGAAGUGGCUCUCCCGGAAGUCACAGAGGUGUGGGUCUGCGCGGGCAGAACCCAGGGCAUGCAGAUCCAAAAGGGCCUGCUUCAGGUUCUUCUCCAGGACAAUAGCAGCUUC